rnacentral:rRNA from 1 species
UACGUAGGGUGCGAGCGUUAAUCGGAAUUACUGGGCGUAAAGUGUGCGCAGGCGGCCGCGCAAGUCGAGUGUGAAAUCCCCGAGCUUAACUUGGGAAUUGCGCUCGAAACUACGUGGCUGGAGUGUGGCAGAGGAAGGUGGAGUUCCACGUGUAGCGGUGAAAUGCGUAGAGAUGUGGAGGAACACCGAUGGCGAAGGCAGCCUUCUGGGCCAACACUGACGCUCAUGCACGAAAGCGUGGGGAGCAAACAGG